GCCAAGGUUCUCUUAUUUAUAAAAAUCUAGGAUGAUGUAGAUGGUACAUCAAUUUGACUGUCCUUACUAGAUGGCCAACUUUUGGCACCACCCAGUUGGGCAGUUAUAUUUCUUUCCGAUAGCCAAUUAGAAGACGCAACAAUUCAUGUGAAGGCAUAGGAAAUGAUGCCACACCCAUAGAAUUAAAAAGGUUGGCUUAUUCUACUCUCUUUGUCUGACCUAAUCCACGCUCGGACUCAAGAGUGGAGGACAACUAUUAUUGGAGAUAAGAAAGUCCCACC
rnacentral:lncRNA from 1 species